rnacentral:lncRNA from 1 species
AAAAAGGGAAGUUAGCUGCAGUUGAAUUUUCCCCAAUAAUUCUCCAAAUUAACCAUCAUCAUAAAUUCAUAAUCUAUCAUUUUUGCUCUCAAAUCUCAAAUUUUCACUAUUUGAAUUUUUCUCAGUGGAAGCAGUUUGAAACUCCCAGAAGUUCAACACCAAACUCAAAAACAAAACAACAAAAAAAGUAGAAAAAAGAAACAAAGAGUGUAAUCCAAGAAGACCCCUUUUUGUUCUUCACAAUUACAGGACCUAUGGUUGUGUGAAAGUAGUUUGUAAUGAUGUCAAGACCAAUGCUGCUUGUUUUUCUGUUGAUUGUACUCAUAAUCACAUCUCAAUUUGAAUGGAAGCAGCAGCUGGUGAGUGAUGUCGAACCGAGUCCUAGUAUAUCUCAGAAGCAGCAGCAGAUCUCAAAGAGAGAAGAAGCUGUUAAAGAGAAGAUGGAGGUAUUGUCCUCUUGAGAAUGACACAAGCAAAUGAAUGCAUUAAAGAAUCUGUAGUAGCAGUUUUGACAGAUAAGGACUAAAAGAAUUGAAAGUAAUUGUAGAUCAGCAAAGAGAGAGAGAGUAGUUGUGACUGAACCAGUGGGACUGUAGCCAACUUAUUGUAUGCACCAAGUUGGCUCUGUCACUGGCCAGAGUUCUGCUGGCAGCUCAACUUGCGUUUUUAAUGACGGUUCAAUUGGUAAAGGUGGAGGGACUUAGGCCACAAGUUCGACCUCUGCCUCAAAUACAAACUCUUUGGCCUUGCUCUGAAGGGCAGCCCCUAGUGCACUAAGCUCUUGCUAUGUAAGGGCUGAACCACAAGUGUCUAAUGUACGCAGUCUUACCCUACUGUUAAAAAAUUUGCAGAUUAUAUUAUCACAGGAGAAGAACAUCCAAAGGCUUAACGAGCUCGUGCGGAACCUCAGGGAACAAUUGCUUCAGUGCAGAAGUAGCAAUGAAACAAUAAGCAACAGUCUUAGCUCACUUGCUGACAUUGCUGAAUUUGAAAAACAGCAAAUUCUUGAGGAUUAGUCAGUUGACAUCAUAUUACUAAAUUCUCUGUACUAUCUGUAACUAUUUUCUGCUUAUUUUGUGUGUGUUUUUGUUGUAACUCUGCAAUUUAAGUGUCAUAAAUCAUAACACUAAUUCAUAUUGCAAUACUAGUGUGAAAAAAAGGAGGAGAAACUUUCAUAUUGUCUGAAUGUGUUUUACUACAAUUCUGCACAGCACCCGGCCUCUAGCCCGCCGCGGAGCUGCCCUUGUUUAAUACGAGUUAAUUGAUACCUCUUCCUCGGAAAAUUAUGUUGUAUAUCGAUACAUCAAAUUGUUUUCUAUACCUAUAUACUAUAUGAUGAAGUCUCUCCACUUAAGUAG